CAGUCGCCGCGGUAAAACGGAGGGUGCGAGCGUUAAUCGGAAUUACUGGGCGUAAAGCGUACGCAGGCGGUUUGUUAAGUCAGAUGUGAAAUCCCCGAGCUUAACUCGGGAGCUGCAUUUGAAACUGGCAGGCUAGAGUCUCGUAGAGGGGGGUAGAAUUCCAGGUGUAGCGGUGAAAUGCGUAGAGAUCUGGAGGAAUACCGGUGGCGAAGGCGGCUCCCUGGACGAAGACUGACGCUCAGGUACGAAAGCGUGGGGAGCAAACAGGAUUAGAUACCCCGGUAGUCCCUGUCUCUUAUAC
rnacentral:rRNA from 1 species